GAUGAACGCUGGCGGCGUGCCUAAUACAUGCAAGUCGAGCGAACAGACGAGGAGCUUGCUCCUCUGACGUUAGCGGAGGACGGGUGAGUAACACGUGGAUAACCUACCUAUAAGACUGGGAUAACUUCGGGAAACCGGAGAUAAUACCGUAUAACAUGCUGAACCGCAUGGUUCAACAGUGAAAGACGGUCUUGCUGUCACUUCUAGAUGGAUCUGCGCCGCAUUAGCUAGUUGGUACGGUAACGGCUUACCAAGGCAACGAUGCGUAGCCGACCUGAGAGGGUGAUCGGCGACACGGGAAGUGAGACAGGGUCCAGACUCCUACGAGAGGCAGCAGUAGGGAAUCUUCCGCAAUAGGCGGAAGCCUGACGGAGCAACGCCGCGUGAGUGAAGAAGGUCUUCGGAUCGUAAAACUCUGUUAUUAGGGAAGAACAAAUGUGUAAGUAACUAUGCACGUCUUGACGGUAACGAAUCAGAAAGCCACGGCUAACUACGUG
rnacentral:rRNA from 1 species